rnacentral:rRNA from 1 species
AGUUCGAUUCUGGUUUCGAUGAACGUUGGCGGGAUAAGCUUUGAUAAUACGCAAGUCGAACCUAAGCAGCACGGACUUCGGUCUGGUGGCGAGUGGCUUAACGGGUGAGUAAUGUAUCGGAACGUGCCUAGCGGGGGAUAACUACGCGAAAGCGUAGCCACACGCAUACGCUGCCCUUCGGGAAAGCGGGGACCUUCUUGCCUUUGCACUCAUUAGAGCGGGCCGAUAUCGGAUUAGCUAGUUGGUGGGGUAACGGCUCACUGCGACGAUCCGUAGCUGGUUUGAGAGGACGACCAGCCACACUGGACCGAGACACGGCCCAGAUCCCCAUGGAGGCAGCAGGGGGGAAUUUUGGACAAUGGGGAACCCCGAUCCAGCCAUCCCGCGUGUGCGAUGAAGGCCUUCGGGUUGGUAAAGCACUUUUGGCAGGAAAGAAACGGCACGGGAUAUUACCGUGCAACUGACGGUACCCGCAAGAAUAGCACCGGCUGGAAUCACGUGCCAGCAGCCGCGGUAAUACAGUAGGGGUGUUGGCAAUCGGACUACUGGCGUAGCGUGCGCAGGCGGUUCGAAAAGAAAGAUGUAAAUCCCCAGAGCUUAACUUUGAACUGCAUUUUUAACUACCGAGCUAGAGUGUCAGAGGGAGGUGGAAUUCGCGUGUAGCAGUGAAAUGCGUAGAUAUGCGGAGGAACACCGAUGGCGAAGGCAGCCUCCUGGGAUAACACUGACGCUCAUGCACGAAAGCGUGGGGAGCAAACAGGAUUAGAUACCUCCUGGUAGUCCACGCCCCAAACGAUGUCAACUAGCUGUUGGGGCCUUCGGGCCUCGGUAGCGCAGUUAACGCGUGAAGUUGGACCGCCUGGGGAGCACGGCCGCAAGAUUAAACUCAGCGAAUUGACGGGACUCCGCACAAGCGGUGGAUGAUGUGGAUUAUCUCGAUGCAACGCGAAAACCUUACCUACCCUGACAUGCUGGGAAUCGACAUUUUGGGAGUGCUCGCAAGAGAACCGGAACACAGGUGUUUGCAUUGGCUGUCGUCAGCUGUGUCGUGAGAUGUUGGGUUAAGUCCUUACAACGAGCGCAACUCCUUGUCAUUAUUGCUACGAAAGGGCACUCUAAUGAGACUGCCGGUGACAAACCGGAGGAAGGUGGGGAUGACGUCAAGUCCUCAUGGCUCCUGGCGGGUAGGGCUUCGCGAUGUCAUACAAUGGUCGGGAGUUAGAGUGGUCGCCACCCGCGAGGGGGAGCCAAUCCCAGAAACCUGAUCGGGAGUCCGGAUCGCAGUCUGCAACUCCGGGACUGCGAAGUCAAAUCGCUAGUAAUCGCGGAUCAGCAUGUCGCGGUGAAUACGUUCCCGGGUCUUGUACACACUGCCUGUCACACCAUGGAGUGUUUUACCAGAAGUAGUUAGCCUAACCGUAAGGAGGGCGAUUACCACGGUAGGAUUCAUGACUUGGGGUGAAGUCGUAUCAAGGU